AGAGCGAACGCUGGCGGCAGGCCUAACACAUGCAAGUCGAGCGCCCCGCAAGGGGAGCGGCAGACGGGAGAGUAACACGUGGGAACGUGCCCUUUGGUUCGGAACAACACAGGGAAACUUGUGCUAAAUACCGGAUAAGCCCUUACGGGGAAAGAUUUAUCGCCAAAGGAUCGGCCCGCGUCUGAUUAGCUAGUUGGUGAGGUAACGGCUCACCAAGGCUACGAUCAGUAGCUGGUCUGAGAGGAUGAUCAGCCUCACUGGGACUGAGACACGGCCCAGACUCCUACGGGAGGCAGCAGUGGGGAAUAUUGCGCAAUGGGCGAAAGCCUGACGCAGCGACGCCGCGUGGGGGAUGAAGGCCUUCGGGUUGUAAACCCCUUUCAGCAGGGACGAAGCGAAGUGACGGUACCUGCAGAGAAGCGCCGGCUAACUACGUGCCAGCAGCCGC
rnacentral:rRNA from 1 species